UGCUACUCCCAUUGCAAAAAAGGGUUUAAGGAGCCCAGCGCCGUGGCUCACUAGGUUAAUCCCCCGCCUGCGGAGCCGGCAUCCCAUGUGGGUGCCGGGUUCUAGUCCCAGCUGCUCCUCUUCCAGGCCAGCUCUCUGCUGUGGCCCGGGAGUGCAGUGGAGGAUGGCCCAAGUGCUUGGGCCUGCACCUGCAUGGGAGACCAAGAGAAGCACCUGGCUCCUGGCUUCGGAUCAGUGCAGUGCACCGGCCAUAGUGGCCAUUUGGGGAGUGAACCAACAGAAGGAAGACCUUUCUCUCUGUCUCUCUCUCUCUCGCUGUCUAUAACUCUACCUGUCAAAUAAAUAAAUAAAAAUCUCUUUUUAAAAAAAGGGUGUGGCUCUAAUGUAGGACUUUGGAAUUACAGGUGAAACCCCAGUUAGCUCUAACUUACCCAUGCAUGAGCAGGGAGCAGGAGGGGUGGGUCAUGGGAGCAUCCCCUUGUCUGCUGUGGCCAAUUUCUGCAUUUGAUGUGGCUCAGGCAUGACAGCCACACCAGGAGUUCACAGCACAGGAGGUGGACACCAGGUCUGACCAUGAGCUCUGGCCAGGGCCCAUGCACACCUCACUUCCUCCUCCUGCCCCUGCUCUGGUGGACUUAGGAUCUCAUCUCCUGGGCUGAUGGAUGCAAAAGAUGGGUCUAAGCGGGGAGGCCCCUGAAAAGCCGUGUGCCCGUGAAGCAGGGAGAUGCUUCUGAGGUUUUCCCAGUUUCAGGAGAGGCACGGACAGGAGAAUGAUGUGCGGACACCUUAUCAGAAGCAGCCCUUCCCCCACCACAGCCCCUGCCACAUCACCCAUUUCUGCUCUCUUCACAGCCUCCACUCUGUUCUGACAUUUCUUAGUUGAGGUUGUGCUUCCUGACCUGUUAACAUCUGUCCCCGCUCUAGAAUGAAGCCCCACGAGACCCGGGAUUUCAUCUCCUUUGACUGGGUCUUCUAGAACGCUGCCUGGCCCAGAGAUGCUCCAGUCAUAGCCCCCAAGACCCACUUGGAAAGCUCACACAGGUGUCCCCAUUUCGAGGUUUACCAAUAAGCACGAACAACCACAGCGUGGAGGAGCUCCCUGGGAACUGAACAAGGACUGGGAGAGCAACGAGGGAGACUCCUCUGGACGUCAGGAAAGAUUGCCUCCUGCUGCUCAGAAUCAUUCUCAGCAUUGGAGACACAGGGGCAGAAAACCACAAGUCCCCUGCCUUGAAGAGCGUCUAUUCUAGACAGAAGCAUCGAUGAGCAAAAACAAAGUGAAGUCUCCUCUGUUAAUUUGGCUGUGAUUUGGAAUCUGAAGGCCAGCUGAGUUUCCACCCAGGAGACUUGGGGCAGCUACUUGGCUCAUUCUGGACUUCAUGUUUUCUAACUAUGAGAUGUGGAUAGCAGCUACCCCCCAGGGUUCUUGGAAGCAAUGAAACACUAUAUGUAGACAUUUCUCAAGGAAGCCAAAGCCCUGUGUAAGGCUGGCUACUGCCUUCUGUUUAUAAACAGGGUCUGUGUUGCUUUGCUAGGUGGACUGUUGCGGAGCAGAGACACACACUGGCUUCUCACCAGCCUCUGCCUGAGUGCUAGAGGCCCAGGAGCUUCAGAUGGUUGGGACAGAGGCAAUUCUGAAGACAUGGGAGGCAUUCUAGAUCAAUGCACUGUACUGAGACUCUCCCAGACCAAUCAUGACUACGGAACCCAAGAUCAUGGAGAUUACAGCUUCAAAGAGCGUGUGUUCCGGUUUCUCUCCAUAUGUCCUAGAUCAGCAUGGUCGGGUAAAGCGAUCUGUGAUGGUGGAAAGGUUUUGCACCUGUGCUGGGCAGUAUGCAGCCAGUAGCCAACGUGACAUUGGAAACCUGCUCAAGAACCACGACACUACAAGGACGUAGCUCUGUUGAUCAUCCCAUUUUGAAGAUGGUACAAGUAACUUAAGUCAUUCAUCCAAGGUGACAAAGCUGCUAGGUGGUAAGCUAGCAGGUGGACCUGUAGGUGACCAGCCACCCUGGUUUGCUGGGAACUGAAGGAUCUCUCCUGGGACAUGGGACUUUAAGUGAUGAAUCCAGGCAAGUCCCAAGUAAGCCAGGACAAAUUGGUCACCCUGUACCCUGUGCCUGGGGCAAUCUGGCUCUUUACCUCAUGCUUCCCUCAUUUGUGGGGGGCAUAGAGCCACCCAGGGCACUUAGAGGAAGAGGUGGGGAGACCAGAGCUGGCUUUGUUCCACUUCCCCUCAUUGUAGCUACCAGAACCCUGCGGCCCGACUAAUACGUACCGAGACCUCAGGGAAGCCAGAGGCAGAGCUAGGACCAAGCCUAGUCCCAGAGCAGGGCUUCAUCAAUAUUUAUUCACUCAUUCAAGCUCUGUCUCUCUGGGAAAGGGGUUCAAAGUGACCUGUAGGAAAGGACAUGCUAAAAGUUGCCAACGAAUAAGCAGCAGAAGAAAAUUGAGACCCAAAUAUAAUGCAAAAGUGCCAGCUUUAAUAGGUAAUUUGGGCUCGAGCUUCCUGGCACCCACAGUAAAAAAGGAAAGCUCUCAGAGCUUUCUCAGGACAGACAGGGGAGUGUUUGUGGUGGUUUGGUUUAAUCUUUAAAACUGCUUGCUGUCUGGUUGGGAUCCUUAGGUAACAGCUUUCCUGAUACUACAGGAUGUUGUCUUGUGCUGGUGUCCUGGGGAGGCAGAAGCAUGCUUCCAGGCCUGUUCUGUGUACCAGUCCAAGACUUCUGCAGGCUCCAAAACAAUCCAAAUAAACCCUGACUCACAGGCGCAUGGUAUGAAACAGAUAUAACUGGAGGUGUGGGGGCUGGAGCCCUGCCUGGGCCUCUGCCCCCUACCCCUGAAGCCUCUGACAGGUUCCAUGGAGCUGUUCUCCAAGCCUGGAUCCUGGGGCUGCCCGGGAAGAGACCAAUGCCUUUGACACUUGCCUGGCAGUUCCCUUGCCCUUGGGGAGCACCCAGGGCCUUGGGGUCAAUGUCCACCAGCCCCAAGGUGCCGGAGAGGCCGAGGGGCUGCAGCUGGACAAAGUUAGACACAGCCAUUACUCUUGACUGCAGUGGUGUGAGCUAUGGCUGGCUGCUACACCAGGAGCCACUGGAUGCCUCCUCCUUAGUUUCUCCUUAGGAUUUCUGUUGGCUUUUAAACAAUUUCUUGAGUUUCAUUCAAGGUCAGGGAGGAGGCUGCAGCACUCAGGGAGGGGGGGAGAGCCCCACCCUAAUCAGAUUUGAGCGGAGACAGGAUAAAAAUUAACCUUCAUUUGAAUAUGUAAACAAACACAGCACUGGGUAAUUUCCAGCCGCCCUUGGCUUUGAGUCUUCAAAGAGCAGCAGAAAGCGCUUCACCUGCCAGGUCUCUUGGUGGCCAGGAAAACUUUAUCCGUCAAGGCUUCUUGCACUUGAACAAGUGCUAAAUAAUCAUAAUGGACCCGGACUGAAAACAGCUCUCCCCACGGCAAAGGGUGGCGUCCAGGCAGGAUGAAGAACCGGGAGUUCUUCAACGACAGAGGGGGAGACAAAAUCUGGCUUGAUGAAUGCUGACAUUCCGAAUAAAAUCACUCCAUGCCUUCACCUAGGUCAAGAAACGACAUUGUUUUCCUGAGUCGCGGUGACAGCGAGGUGACAGAGAUUAAUAGCUCGGUAUUGACUGAGCAACUUGGAGUUCCUUAUCUCUGUCAAGUCAAGGCUGUGUCCAAGGGCUGAAAGUGUUAUUAGACUUAUAAUUGCAAAGACAUUUAAAGGGUUUCCCCUUAGGGGACUAUGAAAUCCAAUAAACCUUUCACAAAACCUCAAGCACUCGCCUGCCAAGCCCCGUCUGGGAGAGCUGCACGCUCCCGGCCCAACGCCCGCAAACCUUGAAGCUGCCAACGGUGAAUAAUGUUUGAUUUAUGAAGUUGGUUUUGAAUUUGUAUCAGUUGUUUUAUUAAAA